CCUACGGGUGGCUGCAGUGGGGAAUAUUGGACAAUGGGCGAAAGCCUGAUCCAGCCACGCCGCGUGUGUGAUGAAGGCCUUCGGGUCGUAAAGCACUGUGGGGAGGGAAGAACGAGCAGUGGGCUAAUAUCCCAUUGCAGUGACGGUACCUCCUUAGCAAGCACCGGCUAACUCCGUGCCAGCAGCCGCGGUAAUACGGAGGGUGCAAACGUUGCUCGGAAUUAUUGGGGCGGUCUCCUGUGUAGGCUGUGAAAGCCCUGGGCUUAACCUAGGAAGUGCGCUCGAAACUGGCAGGCUUGAGUACGGGAGAGGGUCGCGGAAUUCCCGGUGUAGAGGUGAAAUUCGUAGAUAUCGGGAGGAACACCAGUGGCGAAGGCGGCGACCUGGACCGAUACUGACGCUGAGACGCGAAAGCGUGGGUAGCAAACAGGAUUAGAUACCCUAGUAGUC
rnacentral:rRNA from 1 species